rnacentral:rRNA from 1 species
AGUUUCCCUCAGGAUAGCUGGGACAGAGAAUUACACCCGGUAAAGCCAAUGAGUAGAGGUCAGGGAGACACGCGUCUUCUUCCUAUUAUCAAACUUUAAAUGGGUGUGUCGCCACUUGCUUGUUUGAAGUGGCGAACUCAAUCGAGUCCUUAGUGGGCCAGUUCGGGUAAGCUGAAUUGGCGAUGAGGGUUCAACCUGAAGCGGGGUUAAGGCGACAAAGGACGUCUGUUAGUAAAGGCGUUAGUUCAUUUAGACAGUAGGACGGUGGCCAUGGAAGUUGG